CGGAACGUAGCGCAGCUGGUAGCGCGUCUGCUUUGGGAGCAGAAUGUCGCAGGUUCAAAUCCUGUCGUUCCGA
rnacentral:tRNA from 1 species